UACAGAGGGUGCAAGCGUUAAUCGGAAUUACUGGGCGUAAAGCGCGCGUAGGUGGUUUGUUAAGUUGGAUGUGAAAUCCCCGGGCUCAACCUGGGAACUGCAUCCAAAACUGGCAAGCUAGAGUAUGGUAGAGGGCGGUGGAAUUUCCUGUGUAGCGGUGAAAUGCGUAGAGAUUGGAAAGAACACCGAUGGCGAAGGCACUUUACUGGGCUAUUACUAACACUCAGAGACGAAAGCUAGGGUAGCAAAUGGG
rnacentral:rRNA from 1 species